GAACGAAAUCAAACAAUAUUUAUCACACAUAUUGGAACAAAGAACAUCAAGUAGUGUAAUCAAUAAAAGAGAAAAUCUGGAAAAAAAGAAUCAACGUAAAAUAAGAAUAAAAGGAAUUCAAAAUAAAGAUAUUUUGAAGAGAAAUAAGAAUAAUUAAGCCUGGUGUCAGCUGAUGCCAAGUCUUCAAGGAUGGAAAGACAUUGCCCUACAGAACUAGGGAGAGGAAUGUUGACAUUUUGUUUUUGAAAGGGUGAGAAGAAAAGAACAGGACAAGAACUAUGAAAACAGCAGAUAUGAGGAGCAAGAAAGAUGGUGAUUGGCUGCGCUAAACUGAAAAGUUAGUGAAACUUCAAAGUUGGGGGAUUCCAACUGACAUGUUUAAAUCAGCAGUGUCUAAGAUGACCAUUAAAAAUUGUUUUUGUUCCUAGGAUAA
rnacentral:sRNA from 1 species